rnacentral:lncRNA from 1 species
UGUAUGACCUUGGACAAGAUACUGAACUUGGCUAAGUGGAUUGUCCUCAUCUAUAAAACGAGGACAUACUUUGCUGUCUGCCAGGAGACUUCAAGGCUUGAAUGAGGCAGCAUCUGUGGAGCUCUUUGUGAACUGCAAAGCCACUUGUACUGUAAAGUAUCAAUGAACUGCCCAUUCUACUCCCUAAUGACCAUGGCUGAGCGGAGGUUACAGAGCUAUUCUGAUUGGCCUCGCAGUGUCAUCCACUCGAUUGGUUGUAAGAAAGUAGGCUCAUUGUAAGAGAAAGAGGUGGCCUGGCAUGGAUGGCCUGCCAUUGCUGUACCUGGGAGACUUGUUCUACUCUCUGAAUUUGUUCCUAACCCUGGCCACCAAGGAUUUAUUACAGAGC